rnacentral:pre_miRNA from 1 species
AGGAACAACAGUGGCCGCGGCCAGCUCUGCAGCCCUGGAGUCAGCUCCCGCAGUAACUACAGCAGCUCCCAGUCUGCAGGGGCCUGGAUGCUCCGGGCCCGC